AUGCUGCUGAUGAAGACAUACCCGAGACUGGGCAAUUUACAAAAAGGGGGUUUAAUGGAGAACUCACAGUUCCACAUGGCUGGGGAAGCCUCACAAUCUUGGCAGAGGGCAAAGAGGAGCAAGUCACGUCUUACGUGGGUGGCAGCAGUACCUGGGAACAUGAGGCGCUUAUGAAGUCCUUGCAGCAGAGUUGAAAGAGCCUCAGAUCUGAUUGAAGGUCAUUGGAAAACAUUCCGGGUCUUCUCUCUCUGGUCUUGAAGGUACAAGUGUUACUAUUACUUGUCUGUCUAGUCAAAUCUUUCCUUGUCAAUGUUGACAGCCUGCCUCUCCCUUUUCUUGUUCUCUGUGACUCUCUCUCUCUUCCCUCAGUCAGGACUCUCCUCACUACUCUUUUCCUGGUGAUGCACAUUUUACCAAAGCCGGGCUCUCAUUUAGUUUCCAGCCUGCCCAGUUCACUUUCAGCCUUUACCCCGAUCUGUGUUCUGGACGAGCCAACCAAACAACUCCAUCACCAACAUAUACCUCCUUCUGACUCUUGAGAGGUGGACCCUUUGCCAGGCAAUCUUUUCUGUGGCUCUCAGUGGGAACUGUAGCAAAACCCCUAAGCUUUUUAGUUCUCCCUUUUAGGUAUCCACUGAAUCUCUUCCAGUGGGAAACUUGGCCAGGCCAGGGAGGUUAAGACAUGCUUUCAUUCCCUUUCUUCUCUCUAUAAACUUGUCAAGUCAGGGCCUUUUUCAUCUCUUCCUAUCCGUCUUUACACACCUCUACUUGCUGAAGUGGCAUUUCUCAACUUCUUGGGGGCAAUGAUGGACUCCAUAGAGCAGAGGGAGGGAGACUGAUUGAUACUUAAGGAAUAAAGUGUAACAAAGCAUAUUAUGUCCUUUACAUCAACCUGUCAUAAUAUGAAUUGAUAAAACAAGGCAAGAAAUAAUUCUAGUUUACCACCCAAAUGUUCGUCAAUAUAUCACAAUUUCAAUAAACUUUCAUCUCUUUUAGUUUCAUAUAGCAAGCUUUUAGUUAUCUAAAUGGAUUGCACAUUGCAGAGUAUACGUUGCAAUAUAUUGUUUAUCCUAUUUGUUAAUGCCUGCUUAUUUUUUGUCUCUGUGUAUAAAACACGCAUUCUCAGGAGCAGAGAUGUUACAUAUCACAGUAAAUCUAAGAACCUUGGCUCCUAAAACAAUGUUCAGAGACCAUGGACACUCAAUUAUUUAUGGAAGAAGUAAAUAAGCUGAGAAUAUUUGUAGAACCACUCCAACAUGAGAUUUUUACAGUAAGAAAGAAACAUGAUUAAUCUGGAACUUGUAUUCUCCUUCAAAAUGUUCUGAAUUAAUGUAUCCUAAAAGAGUGAAAGUAGCCCGUUAACAUCCAGCAGGAACCUCCUUCAGAACACUGGAAACCUGAAUAAGUUCAACAUAUAAAUGCUAGAAGACAUGUCCAUCAAGCUAUCUUUAAGGUAGCUAUUGCUCUGAGACCUUUUAUUCAUUUGCAAAAUUUAACUGUUUAUUUAGGUAUUCUUCUUGGCUUAAGAACAAGGG
rnacentral:lncRNA from 1 species